rnacentral:lncRNA from 1 species
CCCGGAUACACAUCAAAUAUCAUGCAUAUUAAAUCAUAUAUUAACACAUCUCAUUCAACAUAUCACAUUAGUAGUCAUUUGCUACAUUCGGAUAUAAGCUCCAUAUGAACACCAUCAUUUACAUUUCGGUUCAAAAGUCAUACAUAAAUAUCACAUAUCCAUUUCACCAUUCAAACUUAACCCAUAGAGACCAUUCGACUGUAAGUCAUAUACAUAAAUUAUUUAUCGCACAACUUAAUUCAAGUAGAACCAAAAGGUCAC